GCAGCAGUGGGGAAUAUUGCACAAUGGGCGAAAGCCUGAUGCAGCCAUGCCGCGUGUGUGAAGAAGGCCUUCGGGUUGUAAAGCACUUUCAGCGAGGAGGAAAGGGUGUUGUUUAAUACGCAACAUCUGUGACGUUACUCGCAGAAGAAGCACCGGCUAACUUCGUGCCAGCAGCCGCGGUAAUACGAGGGGUGCAAGCGUUAAUCGGAAUUACUGGGCGUAAAGCGUGCGUAGGUGGUUUGUUAAGCAAGAUGUGAAAGCCCCGGGCUCAACCUGGGAACUGCAUUUUGAACUGGCAAACUAGAGUAUUGUAGAGGGUAGUGGAAUUUCCAGUGUAGCGGUGAAAUGCGUAGAGAUUGGAAGGAACAUCAGUGGCGAAGGCGGCUACCUGGACAAAUACUGACACUGAGGCACGAAAGCGUGGGGAGCAAACAGGAUUAGAUACCCUGGUAGUCCACGCCGUAAACGAUGUCAACUAGCCGUCUGUGACCUUGAGUCGUGGGUGGCGCAGCUAACGCACUAAGUUGACCGCCUGGGGAGUACGGCCGCAAGGUUAAAACUCAAAUGAAUUGACGGGGGCCCGCACAAGCGGUGGAGCAUGUGGUUUAAUUCGAUGCAACGCGAAGAACCUUACCAUCCCUUGACAUCCAGAGAAGAGACUAGAGAUAGACUUGUGCCUUCGGGAACUCUGUGACAGGUGCUGCAUGGCUGUCGUCAGCUCGUGUUGUGAAAUGUUGGGUUAAGUCCCGCAACGAGCGCAACCCCUAUCCUUAUUUGCCAGCGCGUAAUGGCGGGAACUCUAAGGAGACUGCCGGUGAUAAACCGGAGGAAGG
rnacentral:rRNA from 1 species